GGGGGGGGGGGGGGGGGGGGGUGGGGCGGGCGGGGCGGGCGGGGGGGCGGGGAGCGUGCUUCGCUGGUGUUGGCGGCGGACGGGUGAGUGACACGUGGCUAACCUACCUCUCAGCCUGGGGUCCCUUCGGGCAACCGGAGCUAAUACCGGAUGAUCUUAUUACCCGCAUGGUUCCACAGUUACAGACGGUCUUGCUGUCACUUCUAGAUGUAUCCGCGCUGCCUUAGCUAGUUGGUAAGGUAACGGCUUACCAAGGCAACGCUGCCUAUCCGACCUGAGAGUGUGAUCGGCCACACUGGAACUGAGACACGGUCCAGACUCCUACGGGAGGCAGCAGUAGGGAAUCUUCCGCAAUGGGCGAAAGCCUGACGGAGCAACGCCGCGUGAGUGAUGAAGGUCUUCGGAUCGUAAAACUCUGUUAUUAGGGAAGAACAUAUGUGUAAGUAACUGUGCACAUCUUGACGGUACCUAAUCAGAAAGCCACGGCUAACUACGUG
rnacentral:rRNA from 1 species